rnacentral:rRNA from 1 species
CAAAAACAUAGCUACAUGUAUUUAUUUGUGGUAAUUUCUGCUCAAUGAAGUUUAAAUAGCCGCAGUACUCUGACUGUGCUAAGGUAGCGCAAUCAAUUGGCUUUUAAUUGGAGUCUUGUAUGAAAGAAAACAUAAGGGGCUACUUUAUUUUUUGUAUUAAGUGAAUUUAUUUAAAAAGUGCAAAUACUUUUAUUAAAAUAAUAGACGAGAAGACCCUAGAAAUUUUAAAGACGAGGCUUUUUGUUGGGGCAACAAAGUAGCAGAUAACCUACUUUAAUUACACGAAAGAUAUAUUUUGCAAGAUUAAAUUACUCUAGGGAUAACAGCAUAAUUUGAAAAAGUUUGUGACCUCGAUGUUGGAUUAGGGUAUUAUCAUUUAAAAGAUUAAUAAUAAGCUCUGUUC